rnacentral:rRNA from 1 species
ACUACGGGUGGCUGCAGUGGGGAAUAUUGCGCAAUGGGCGAAAGCCUGACGCAGCGACGCCGCGUGAGGGAUGAAGGUCUUCGGAUCGUAAACCUCUGUCAGCAGGGAAGAACGGUCACUGUGCUAAUCAGCAGUGACUUGACGGUACCUGCAAAGGAAGCACCGGCUAAAUCAGUGCCAGCAGCCGCGGUAAUACGGGGGGUGCGAGCGUUAAUCGGAAUUUCUGGGCGUAAAGCGCUCGUAGGCGGUAUGUCAAGUCAAGGGUGAAAUCCCCGCGCUCAACGUGGGAACUGCCGUUGAAACUGGCAAACUGGAGUGUGUGAGAGGAUAGUGGAAUUCCAGGUGUAGGGGUGAAAUGCGUAGAUAUCUGGAGGAACAUCAGUGGCGAAGGCGACUAUCUGGCACAUAACUGACGCUGAGGAGCGAAAGCGUGGGUAGCAAACAGGAUUAGAUACCCCAGUAGUC